AAGAGUUGCAAAACUCCCUAAAACCCCUGUGAACUUAUCCUUGAGCGUUGCUUCGGCGGGCAGCCCCUCCCUGGGGCCGCAGCCUAAUCCCCCUUCCGGGGGGGUGCGGGCGCCCGCCGGAGGUAUUAAACUCUUCUGUAUUUUAGUGGCAUCUCUGAGUUAGCAAGUAAUAAGUCA
rnacentral:misc_RNA from 1 species